UACGUAGGGGGCAAGCGUUGUCCGGAAUCAUUGGGCGUAAAGAGCGUGUAGGCGGCCCGGUAAGUCCGCUGUGAAAGUCCAGGGCUCAACCCUGGGAUGCCGGUGGAUACUGUCGGGCUCGAGUCCGGAAGAGGAGUGUGGAAUUCCGUGGUGUAGCGGUGAAAUGCGCAGAUAUCAGGAGGAACACCAAUGGCGAAGGCAGCACUCUGGGACGUGACUGACGCUGAGACGCGAAAGCGUG
rnacentral:rRNA from 1 species